GGGAUCGUGCGCUCCUUAUUUAGCUGGCCACAUAUGCCACUUAGCAUAAAGCGACUCGACAAUAAUGAGAGAUGUAUUAAGAAGGAUGAUCAAUCACCACACUAGAUGGGUAAGACAGGCAUCCAACACAUUAAAUACGGAUAUAGCUGAAGGUUAUCUAGCAACAUAUCGUUGAGUUGCUCGUCUAGUUUCCACAUGGAGCCACCCACCCGUCCACGGAGCAUGAGAUCAUCAAGUUUUCAGACAGCAGACAAGGGAAAAAGCAUAGCCUCAACCCAAGACAUUUACAGACAAAAGGUACUAGGUAAUCUUCAUUUUAGACCUACAUCUGCAUUAGACAAAAACGCC